AGCAGGCCGAGCUAGAAAAGCAAAAAAGAUGGCUUUGCUUGCGUUUGUUUGUAGGUGGCGGGGAGGAUGACACAGUUUAUCCAUCCCAAGCUUUUGAGGAGAGCCGAGGAGGUGCUGGGCAUGCUCUCCACGCCCAAGUCCACUCCGCAGUACCCCUACGACAAGAAGUUCAGUGAGGUGCCGCUCGAGGAGCGAGAGAAACUUAUGUACCAGUGGGCCAACAGCGACGACGACGAUUCCCGUCUCAACUUCAAGAUCUUCAAGACGUUCAUCCUCAACACCUUCUAUAGCAAGGUGCCGUGGUUUAGAAAGACGCUCUCUAUAUCAAGACAUUGUACCUCUUGGCUUGCAGGUGGAUGCUUCGGGCUACAACCCGACCUGGGAAGCCAUCGGCUACGCGGGACCGGAUCCAAACUCCAUGAAAGCAACGUUGCCUCCAAAGCCGUCAGCUCUCAAGUCCGCCGUCUUCGACGUCAGAGAGCACCCCGACCUGCGAGCAGUCCUCAAGCACACGGGUUACACUCUACUGGAUGACAUAUCUCACCUCAAGCCGGCGCUGCUGCCUUCCAACAAGCUUGAGGACGGAGAGGACGUGAUUGGCAUCAAAUGCGACGUGAUCAUUGUUGGAGCUGGCAGCGGAGGAAGCGUUCCAGCUCAGGUCCUGUCCACUGCCGGCCUCAAAGUUUUGCUGCUGGAGAAAGGCCGCUACUUUGCGAGAGAAGAUCUGUCCCUGCUCGAGCAACCGACUUUCAGCGAGCUCUACGAAGAAGGCGGAUUUCUGGCAACUGACGACUUUGCUUACUCGCUCAUGUCCGCUGCGGUGGUGGGAGGCGGAACUUGCAUCAACUGGGCGGCAUCCUUCCAGACUCCGCCUCACGUCCGCCAGGAAUGGGCUGAGGAGUGUGGACUUCCCAUGUUUACCAGCGAAAAGUACCAGCAAGCUCUGGAUCUCAUCUGCAAGAAGAUCGGUGUUCAGCCUAAUGCAACAGUGGAAAGCUUCCAGAAUGCAGUCCUGCGCAAGGGAUGCGUUGAGCUUGGCCUCCACAGCGCAAACAUACCGAGAAACGCGAGCCCAGAACACUACUGCGGCUGCUGUAACAUGGGAUGCCGACGGGGUAUGAAGCAAGCGACCACCGAGACUUGGCUGGUGGAAGCAGCGGCAGCAGGAGCGACCAUCCUCACGGGAACCAAAGGCUUGCAAGUGCUAUUCACGGACGGGACCAAGAAGGAGAAGAAAGCCAUCGGUGUGUUGGCCACCACCUUGGGUGACCAGCCAAAGAAGUUGAUCAUCGAGGCCAAAGCGACCAUCGUGUCCACCGGCUCUAUCAUGACACCACCGCUGCUCAUCAGAAGUGGACUCACGAAUCCAAACAUUGGGAAACACUUCCACAUCCAUCCGGUGCUGGGAGUGUGGGGAUACUUCCCGGAGGAGGAGAAGAACCCGGGAGCUAGCUUCGAAGGAGGGAUCAUGACGGCCUUUAGCGCGGUGAGCGCACGCUGGGACACAGUCGGCUAUGGUCCGGUGCUCAUGACACCGAGCUUCCACCCCGGACAGUACGCUUCGGUGGUAACUUGGAAAUCUGGAGCUCAGCACAAGGAGGCAAUGCGGAGGUUCAGACGAGUCUCUCAGGUGGUGCUCUUCACUCGUGACAAAGGAGCUGGGAGUAUCGGAGUGGACAAGAAGACGGACGAGAUCACGAUCGAGUAUACUCUAGAUCCAUACGACGAGGAGGUUUGCCUGGAGGGAGCGGAGAAAGGACUUCGCGUGCUCAAGGCAGCGGGGGCAGUGGAAGUCGGGACGCACCACCACGACGCUGAAAGCUUCACGUUUGGCAAGUCGACAAGCUGGAAAGAAGAGAAGAAGCGGUUCGAGGAGUACCUUGCGAGCGUGAGAAGCAAAGGGCUCAAGCCCAACCGGCUGCCAAUGGUAUCGUAUCACUUGCUGGGAUCGUGCCGGAUGGGAUCCAGCCCCGAGAACUCGGUGAUUGAUGCCAAAGGCGAGACUUGGGAUGCUGAAGGCCUCUUCCUCACGGACGCCAGCGUCUUUCCCACACCCACGGGUCUCAACCCCAUGGUCACUAUCCAGUCCAUCGCCUACUGCACUGCACAGAACAUUGUGGAGCAUGUCAAGUCGUCCAAGUGAAAGAGCAGAGCUCUAAGCUCUAAGCAAAAUCAUACCAGAGUUUGUAUUGUUUGUGAAGUACUGUGAUGGAAUAAGAACAGCGACGUAUGGCCAGCUCACCUGUUUUACGAGAGGAGAAAGAAGAUUUAGAUUCUUCGUCCCAGCAAAGAGACAAACAGCUGCCAAGGAAAGAUCAGCCACAAAACUGGCUUUGUCAAUAUUGCUCUAGAGACAAACAACUCCACCAAGAGAAAAAGAAAUGCGUCCUAGUUGGAUAGAGAUGUCAGAGACUUACUUGGAUAAGGCAUCAGGACUGCAGCAUCGUCCACAAAGCCAGUCUUUUGAGGACAAAAGAAGUAUUGCCCCACACUGGAAAACCAAGAAGGAACCCGGCAGAUCCCUGCUGGAAGGACAGGGACAUCGAGAGAAAAUGUGAGGUAGCCGGAGGUCGCUUUCCAUCCAACCUAAUAAAAUCCCAAGAACCCUAAAAAGCAGCAAAUUAGUGUAGGCUUUACAAUAAGUAAAUUAGGCUUUACAAUAAGUAAAUAAUUUUAACUCGUC
rnacentral:lncRNA from 1 species